UCCGUUGGGGACUUCUAGCAGUGGGGUCGAACGCCCUUAAAAACUACUUUACCCAGAAUGCAACAGUAACUCGUGUGGUUCGCCUGGGGAAGUCGUGCACGCGCGCUUUAACAUAAUUUACUCUCGUUUUUGAGUCUUUAAAAAAACUCGUCAUGCCUUUAAUUCACAACAUCGGCCAGCUUUGUGUCAAAAUGAGAAAUAAUAAUGUGCUCACAUGAUUUGUGUAAUCACCCAAGUGACGACGGCACUUUCGACAAAGUACAAAUCAAAAGUAAAAAAUGGUAAAAGGUUCAUAAUGUAAAAGUUUUUUUGUUAUUUGUCCAAGCGUGUAAGUCUAAGUACCUGCACAUUUAGAAUUUAUUUUAAUUAAUUAAUUAAUUAAUUAAUUUAUUUAAAAACAACCCCCCACUACCACCAGUCAUUACCAUUUAAAUAAAAAAAAAAAUAUGAGCGUAUGAGCUUGUCAAAUAAUAAUAGUUAAGUCUUAAUGGAUGGAUGGCUAUAUUUUACAGACAAAGAAAGAUACAACAUAUAAAAUAUACAUAGCUCACACGACCUUAUGAUUUCUAAAAAGUCCAUGUUAUCAGCACUGACAGAUUGUCUGAACGUUGGUCCAGCCCACAGAGCGUCUCCCACCCUCACAUCACCUAAACGCACCGCAGCAUCCCGGCGCCCCAUCAGUCAUGACAUCCAUUGUCACCAAGGCCAUAAUGGAGUCAUACGCGCUCAUGAUUUUAGUCAUGGGAACUUUUUUCUUGUACUUCUGCGGAAUGGUGUGGGCUUUUUCCAACCCGAAACUUAGCUGGCUGGAGGAGAGUCAAAGCGAGAACGCCGGGACACAGCAGCCGGCAUUGCCUGAUGUUGCGGACGUGCACACUCGCAGCACCUAUGUCCGCUUUGGGGACGACACCGAGAGCCUGCUGUUGGAAUCUGACGCCUUUUGUCCCGAGCGUUAUGGAUUUGACAACCUCACAUGUCAGCCAUCUUCAAGGAAGGAAGAGAAACAUUUGAUUCUUGACAUUUAGGUCCAACAAGGAGCUGCAGCAGCUGGUCAUAGAGCUCCUCCGACGUGUCCAAGUCGACAUCCAUCUGCAAAGAGGAUCCAAUGUGCUACAUUGUUUCAACUAUCCCAGAGAGGAUGCUCAUUCCAAAUGGAAACAUUUAUCAGGCAUACCUGCCGUGGUUGAGUGUAGCAAUGACCGAGGCCAGAUGUUAAACUGUGGUAUUUGGCCCGUGGGUCCAACAUUUCAGGUUUUCGAUUAAAAAGCCAAAUCUACAAAAGCAGAAGGACAUGUAUAAGCGUCCCGCAGCAUCUUUUUUUGCAACGUGCUUCUUCUUACCAAAGCUUCAGCUCCAUUGUAAGGUGUCAGGGUGAACGUAUUGAUAAACACUCUGAUCUGAUGACAAAGAGAAAAUGUAUUGGGGUGAAUGACAUCAGUAGAGUUUUUACGUCACUCACCAGCCAUAGGAGAGGCAAAAAUAGGGUCCAGAGGAAUGCUGGGAAGGAAGGCAGGAUGCCGUAGGUCAGGUUGGUCAUCACAAAACCGGGACAAAUCACAGAUGAGUAUAAGCCCUGGUGAGCACAAGUCAGCUAACCCAAAUAAGUAAAGGUAAAGCUCAACCUUAAAUGUCCUAAAAAAAAAAAAGUCUUUUGUUACAACUAACCUGUUUAUUGUAAUGAGUGUUAAUCGCCAGACUGAGACUGUCCGAAGCAUAUUUGGACGAGCUGUACGGUUCGCGGCCUUUGCGGUGCUGGACGUCUUCCAGGCUAAAAGCCGAGCGGCGAGCGUUACUGGAGGACGUCCAGAUGAGCUGAGAGGUCCGACCUGCUUGGCAAAGAAUCGGCUCCAGCUCCCUGAUCUGAAAAGAAACGCACCUCACUUUUGAUUCCUUUCGUACAUUUUUAAAUGAUCACAACACAAGGCUUCAAAAAUCAAAAGCGGUUGUGGGCUAGUAUUUAUUCGGCUGCUGUUGUCAGACUAUAAAGGUGCCCGUGACCUUCCAUCAGGGACAAUCAAGCUAUUCAUUUUUAAUGAGUAUUGUUGCUCAAGUAACCGACAUAUCCAGUGUAGCCUGCAUUCUGCUAAAGUGACCUCAAGAGUUGCUCCCUCUGCAAAGAAACCAAUGUCAACACGUCUUUCUACUCCAGCCUGACAGGGACGGACAAACUCACAAGCAGGAAGUGACCAAAGAGGUUGACGGCGAAUACUUCCUGCAAGCCAUCUGGAGUGAUGCCAUCCUUCUGGGUCAGGAUGCCCUCGCCAGUUGUCAACAUGGUGAUGACAUUGCUGCAAAAAAAUAAAAAUACAGUACUGGGAUUUAAACCUCAUAUUACAAAAGAGGCUAGGAUAUGCAGAGGGGUGUUAAAAAUGCGUUGUACCUGGAAAAGAGGCCUUCGAAGAAAGCCUUGAGGUCAAACUGUGGGUUCGGCAUGAUGCCCGCAUUUAGAUAGACAUAAUCCAGCCGGUUAAACCUGCAGGAGACAAAGUUUACUGUGGUUUGUAUAUCAGUCCCAUACAUUAUGUUCACUGAAAUGUGUAUAUAAUGUCAUAUUAUGAUGAUUGGCCACAUAUAAAAUAGUUAAAUAAGGAAUGUUGACUUUGCACUUGAGUGUUUUUAUCCAUCCACCUGAGUUGGAGCUCCCGUGCAGCAGUGAGAACCGAGCUGAUGCUGCUGGUGUCCAUUUGCAGCAGCGUCACCUGGGCCGCAGAGUGGGAAGCGAGCAGGGCAGAGCGGGCGGCUUCAGCCCGACGCAUGUUCCGACAGGCCAGACACAAGUGGAGUCCUUCUGCAUCCUGGCAGCUGAGGAGACGCUGACACAGAGCCAGGCCGAUGCCACUGCGGUGGGGAAAACCAAACAGUGGUGGGAAGUAAUGAAGUGCAAAUAUUUGGUGAGUGCACUAAAGUAGAUUUUUUUUGCACAAGCAUAAAUAUAAAACUGUGGGUCUGCUUUUGCCAAAUUAUUCAGUAUAUUUUAAACAUAUAUAAGCCAAGUAAUUGUCUUUCCUCUAAAUACCUACGUAGGGGAGGAAAAAGUCGUGUAUCGUCGGUUUGACCUUUUUUGGCCACCGUAGUUUUUCUAGCACACUGCAAUGCUAGUCCGGAUUGUUAUAAACAAAGUAAAACAAGAUGUAUUUAUCGCAUCGUGCAUUACAUAUAAUGUCUUUAAUACGAAUUAUAACAACUGCCUGACCACUCACGGCAUUCCACAGCAAACAAGCGCUUUUACCUGUUGGCUCCCGUCACCAAAACAACCUUAUUCAUCUUUUCUCUACCUCACUAAACGAAGCCAAGUAGCAUAUUUAGCACGACUACUUCUCUCAGUGAAGAAAACUACGUUUUUGAACUCACCAUGGAGUCAUACUUGACCCGCCCUCGCUGUCCUGUGAUUGGAUACAGCAGGCAUGGCAGCCAAUAGGAUCACGAAAGCGCACGGGAUGGAAUUCACUGUUUUAUUUUAUAAUCAAUGUACAACGUUCGUUAACAAGUACAGUACAUAAACAAUUUUUACUAUAAUACUGUACAAAAUCACUAAAUAUGUCUCCACUUCACCCCGUUUGAUCUCUUAUUGAACAUAUACAUCCCUGACCCCUUUCGGCACCCGUACCGCACCUUGCCACCGUUUCCAUGACAACGCGUACACUAUCCAACAACUCUACUUUCCACAUCUUGCACGAUCCAUCCACCCACUUUUGUUUCAAUCACUAAUCCAAGAAAAAAUAUGGAAAAAAGGAGCAUAUUCAUACACAAUUACACCAAUCACACAAACAGUCAAAUAUCUACACACAGUAUAUAAAUAUGAGUACAAAAUACUGGUUGUCUUUACACAGCACAAAAAGAAAGAGGUGACAUUUCCUUCUUAUUCGACGAGGAGACUGAGAUGAAACACUUGAAAUCUGGUGCACUCCCCCCCCCCCCUACAUUCAAGCAGUCUUCCAAACAAUAACACAAAAAAAAAUAA